UACGAAGGGGGCGAGCGUUGCUCGGAAUCACUGGGCGUAAAGGGUGCGUAGGUGGCGCUGUAAGUCGGGUGUGAAAUUUCGGAGCUUAACUCCGAAACUGCAUUCGAUACUGCGGUGCUUGAGGACUGGAGAGGAGACUGGAAUUCAUGGUGUAGCAGUGAAAUGCGUAGAGAUCAUGAGGAAGACCAGUGGCGAAGGCGGGUCUCUGGACAGUUCCUGACACUGAGGCACGAAGGCCAGGGGAGCAAACGGG
rnacentral:rRNA from 1 species